CCCUUAGAUGUUCUGGGCCGCACGCGCGCUACACUGACGGAUUCAACGAGCUUACAACCUUGGCCGAAAGGUCUGGGUAAUCUCCAAAAUCCGUCGUGAUGGGGAUAGAUUAUUGCAAUUAUUAAUCUUCAACGAGGAAUUCCUAGUAAGCACAAGUCAUCAGCUUGUGUUGAUUACGUCCCUGCCCUUUGUACACACCGCCCGUCGCUCCUACCGAUUGAAUGUUCCGGUGAGCUCUUCGGACUGCGCGGUCUGCAGUUUCUGCGUUCCGUGCGGAAAGUUGCGCAAACCUUAACAUUUAGAGGAAGGAGAAGUCGUAACA
rnacentral:rRNA from 1 species